rnacentral:rRNA from 1 species
CCUACGGGUGGCAGCAGUGAGGAAUCUUGGUCAAUGGACGAGAGUCUGAACCAGCCAAGUCGCGUGAAGGAUGACUGCCCUAUGGGCUGUAAACUCUUUUUAUAUGGGAAUAAAAUGUUCCAAGUGUGGGAUCACGUUUGUACCAUAUGAAUCCGGAUAGGCUAAGUUCGUUCCAGCAGCCGCGGUAAUACGGAGGGUCCGAGCGUUAUCCGGAUUGAUUGGGUUUAAAGGGAGCGUAGGUGGAUUGUUAAGUUAGUUGUGAAAGUUUGCGGCUCAACCGUAGAAGUGCAGUUGAAACUGGCAGUCUUGAGUGCAGUAGAGGUGAGCGGAAUUCGUGGUGUAGCGGUGAAAUGCGUAGAUAUCACGAAGAACUCCAGUUGCGAAGGCAGUUCACUGGACUGCAACUGACGCUGAGGUUCGAAAGUGUGGGUAUCAAACAGGAUUAGAUACCCGUGUAGUC